rnacentral:rRNA from 1 species
AGGACGAACGCUGGCGGCGUGCCUAACACAUGCAAGUCGAACGAGGUCCAACCGGUGGCAACACUGGUGAAGACCUAGUGGCGAACGGGUGAGUAUCACGUGAGCAACCUGCCCCGAAGACUGGGAUAACACCGGGAAACCGGUGCUAAUACCGGAUACCCCCACCGGAUCGCAUGGUCUGGUGAGGAAAUGAAUUUUGCUUUGGGAGGGACUCGCGGCCUAUCAGCUUGUUGGUGGUGUAACGGACCACCAAGGCUUCGACGGGUAGCUGGUCUGAGAGGACGAUCAGCCACACUGGGACUGAGACACGGCCCAGACUCCUACGGGAGGCAGCAGUGGGGAAUCUUGCGCAAUGGGCGAAAGCCUGACGCAGCAACGCCGCGUGAGGGACGAAGGCCUUCUGGGUUGUAAACCUCUUUCAGCAGGGACGAUGAUGACGGUACCUGCAGAAGAAGCCCGGCAACUACGCGCCAGCAGCCGCGGU